rnacentral:rRNA from 1 species
UACGUAGGGGGCGAGCGUUGUCCGAAGUUACUGGGCGUAAAGCGCGCGUAGGCGGGCCGAUAAGUGAGAAGUGAAAGGCUCAGGGCUCAACCCGAGCAGUGCUUCUCAUACUGUUGGUCUUGAGGGCGGUAGGGAGAAGUGGAAUGGCUGGUGUAGCGGUGAAAUGCGUAGAUAUCAGUCGGAACACCGGUGGCGAAGGCGGCUUCUUGGGCCGUUCCUGACGCUGAGGCGCGAAAGCCAGGGGAGCGAACGGG